CAAGUCGAGGGGCAGCGGGGUGUAGCAAUACAUCGCCGGCGACCGGCGCACGGGUGCGUAACACGUAUGGAAUCUGCCCUUUACUGGGGGAUAGCCCGGAGAAAUCCGGAUUAAUACCCCAUAACAAUCGAGGUGGCAUCACCUUGAUUUGAAAGCUCCGGCGGUAAAGGAUGACCAUGCGCACGAUUAGCUAGUUGGUGAGGUAACGGCUCACCAAGGCUACGAUCGUUAGGGGGCCUGAGAGGGUUAUCCCCCACACUGGUACUGAGACACGGACCAGACUCCUACGGGAGGCAGCAGUGAGGAAUAUUGCGCAAUGGAGGCAACUCUGACGCAGCCAUGCCGCGUGCAGGAAGAAGGCGCUACGCGUUGUAAACUGCUUUUAACCGGGAAGAAACCCCAGGACGUGUCCUGGGUUGACGGUACCGGAGGAAUAAGCACCGGCUAACUUCGUGCCAGCAGCCGCGGUAAUACGAAGGGUGCAAGCGUUAUCCGGAUUCAUUGGGUUUAAAGGGUGCGUAGGCGGAGCGUUAAGUCAGUGGUGAAAUCCUGCAGCUUAACUGUAGACUUGCCAUUGAUACUGGCGCUCUUGAGUGCGCUUGAAGUAGGCGGAAUGUGUCGUGUAGCGGUGAAAUGCUUAGAUAUGACACAGAACACCGAUUGCGAAGGCAGCUUACUAAGGCGAUACUGACGCUGAGGCACGAAAGCGUGGGGAUCGAACAGGAUUAGAUACCCUGGUAGUCCACGCCGUAAACGAUGAUCACUCGUCAUUGGCGAUAUACGGUCAGUGACCUAGCGAAAGCGUUAAGUGAUCCACCUGGGGAGUACGAUCGCAAGAUUGAAACUCACGGAAUUGACGG
rnacentral:rRNA from 1 species